UCACUUCUGGAAGAACCUCUAGGUACACUGGUUCCGUGUUGUGUGCUGGAUUCUCUUCCUGAAUUGG
rnacentral:pre_miRNA from 1 species